rnacentral:lncRNA from 1 species
UUGAUUCUACCCACUUUUCUAGUAUUACCAGUUGAUAGAUUUCAGAUGCCUCUAUUUAGCUGCUAGGUGAUGUCAUAUUAGCUUCUUCAUGUUGGGAGGAGAUUGCGACAUGCAUCUCUUUUGACAUUUCAAGACCUGACAUACAUUGAGAAUGAUUAAGUUAUUUGUCUUCCCCAAUCUCUCUAGCUUUGCAGUUUCUUCUGCGAUUCCCUUUCUUUGCUUUUUUUUUUUUUUUACGUCAAACACCAUUUUAUUAAGUUAUCGGGAAGAAAAGACUUUCCUCUGGGGAGAGCCAAUCAGGAACCGAUGAGCUUACAUGGAAAAAGAUACAAUUACUGUGGAUGUCGGAUUCACACACUCAAGUAUUUUUAUUAAGUAGGAAAGAUUACUCUUGAGGGACAAAAAUGAAUAUGUAAAAACUUAUAAAUUGCUGCGAAAAUUGCUAUAGUAUUUCUUUCUUCAGAGGAAGAUCCCUUUUACAUGGCCAUUGGCCUUCAUAUUUAUACAUAGAGAAACGACAUUAAAAUGAGUAAUUAAGUACAAUUAUUCCUUCUUAAAUGUGUCCGUUUUGAUUCCUUGACUUUAAUGCUCAACGUUUGAAUUCGAGUUGACUCUGAUCCUUAUGGGCCUCGCCUUUCGGCCCAAAUGUCCUUGGACCGACUUUAAUCAUGACCUCGUCUCCGGACUCGUGUCGAGGUGCAGUCACUUCGAAUUCUCCUUAUGGUGGUUACCACUUCGAUUGUUCUUUUGACUCGUGGGUCCGAUGGGCUUUAUCCUUUAUGGGCCGCUACCCUGAUUACGUGGCAAUCUUUGGUUGGUCCUGGACCUCUGGUGCGGGAUCCGACACCAACAAUUAGCCCCCCAAGUUCUUCGAAGUGUCAUUCCAAUUCGGAGGACUUUAAAUGCUUAAAUGACCAAAGAUUGCGCUCGAAAAUCUUUCUGAUUUCCCGCCGAAAAUCUCAUCACUCCUUUAAUUUCGGCACUAGCCAUUUCUACUCGAGUGACAUCUGUCAUCAUUAUGACCGUAUCUUAAUUAUUUACUAUUAAAGCGGGAAAAAACCUUCCCACUUCUUCCACGAUUCCCAAGACGGUUUCAUGAUUAUCACCUAGCUUGAGGUAACUUUCUUUUUCAUUCUUUCUUUUACUCUUGAUCAUUGUGGUUAAAACUCCUUCUUCUUCUCUCUCCAAAUUUUCUUUUUUGGCGAAACUUGAAAUUCCCAAUGACUUCCGAUUCCGAUAGACCCGAGUCUCCGUCCUUCGAUGAGAGGCGUUCUAGCAAUGAUGAGUGCACCCGCCCUAAUGACAUUGCCGGUCCGCACUAUAGAUCCACCUGCACCCUUCAAUCCCUUGAGCGAUUGAAGGGACUCUGCCAAAUCCCACCGGGAAUUAUGGCAGAGGCGCAGAUAGCUGAUCCUACGGAGUCCCUAGAAAGCCACCGCGACGGCUACUUCUGUGUAUACGAGAUCUAUUUUAAAGGUUGCGGGCUGACCUUUCCUCUUCCCGAAGCCCUAGUUCGAUACCUAGCGGCUCUUGAAAUUGCUCUUCCUCAAUUAACCCCUAAUCUUCUUCGUACUAUCCUCGGAAUUAUAACAAUCGCGGCGGAGGCCGGAUAUGUUAUCGGAGUCACUGAACUAAAUGAGCUUCUAAGCGUAAGAAGUUCAUCGAAGAAGACGGGGUACUUCUCAGCGUAUCCGAACGCUAAUAGAAACAUCAUCUCGCACCUUCCAAACAAGGAUGAAAAUUGGCACCAUCCUUGGUUUCUGAUUAAGAAAACUCCCGCUUCGAUUGGAAAUCUUGCAAAUUUACUCCCAUCGAAGUGGUCUGCAAAGCCUGGUAGAGAUUAGGUCGCAUAUAUCUUUUCCGGUUGUUUUAUUAUCUUUAUUGACUAAAACUGUUGUUUCAUUUCGCAGCUUUCAUCGCUUCCAUCCUCCCAUCCGAAGGGUUCAUCGAAUUCUUCAAGAUAAUCCUCGAAGGGGAAACCCUUUGGAAUUCUUUCACUCUUGAACGAUUCCUAGAAGCUAACCACAAGCUCAGGAUGAGUCCACCGGGUCAACUUCACCAACUUCCGCCUCCUCCCUCAACUCAGGGGAUGUCAUCUCGGGCUUUUGCGGCCAAGCGUAAGGUGCUUUCCAAACCGGUAGCUGAGGCUUGUGAGGAGAAGAAAAAGUUUCUCGCGACUUCUAUAGAUAAGAAGGACUACAGUAGGACCCUGCUGGUUGAUGAUGGCAGCACCGAAGGAGCCAGAUCUGUUGCUUCUUUCAGAUUAACUCCCCGUCGUGAUCAUCGUGACUCACGUUCUCCUCGGAGGGACCGAUCUCCUCGCCGUGAUUCACCUCGUCCCCCCCGAGAUGUCUUUAGCAACAAACCACUUAAGAACUUGGUUCGUAGGAAGAGAGACAAGUCCUCUCGUAGUGAUUCUUCCCCGCGAAGGGAGAAGUCAAGGCCCCGGACUGACCGUUCACCUCGAUCAUCCCCUCCUAUUGAACCAAUGGGUCCUCCACGACCGGUUGAAAUGUCUUCCUCUUCCCUGCCUGAAAGUAAAAAGACUGCACGGAGCGCAUCUCCAACAAAAGGAGAUUCUGAAUCCCGAGAUGCUUCCUCGAGGUUAAAGCCUGCUCUUGUCCCUCAAGUCAAAUCGCUUUCAGGUUUGAUGAUUUACACAGUCUCAAAAGUUUUUAUCUCUAUUCAGAUUCCAAUUUUUACAACUCUUCCUCCUUUGUAGCUAUGGAGAAGGAAGGCAGCGUUUUCCGAUGCUUCAAGACCCGAUCGGGUUCGACCUUGCCAGACUUCGACAAGUGGCGCCCUGCGAUUCGUGAACGCUAUUUGCUCCAUGCUUAUCAUUCAUCUCGGGUUAGUUUCGCUUUAAUUUUCCGAUUGUGCUGCCGUUCAUCGAAAUGCCUCAUCAUCUCAAUUUCAUGCAUAAUGGCAGGCUAACGGUGAGCUUAACGACAUGGUUGAACAUUAUGAGGGGCUGGUCCUUGGUCAGGAAAAGGAGAUUGACGCGUGGAAGAAAAAACUUUCUGCUCUUGAGGCUGAACUAAGCUCUUCUACCGGCUCUAAGCACGACCUGGAGGACAAAGUCGACAGUUUAACAUCCGAGCUGGCGAAGAUUAAGGGGGAGCUGCAGGAUCAGUACGACCAAAAUUUCAAACUCCAGGAUGAGCUUUCUGGUGUUCAGGGUAGGCUUCACGAAUCCGAAUCAACCGCCGAUACCCUGAAUAACCAACUCAUUGAGCUUAACGCGAAGUACAAGGCGAUUGCCAAAUUGCGUGAUUCCGAGUUGGCAAGGUCGGCAUCGAAAGCCAGAAAGGAAGUUAAGGGACGCGGGAUGGAGUUGAUCCAAGGGGCCAUCCGCUUCAUGCAGACCGAGAAGGCUAGGUCAGAUUUGGAAUCAGACGUCAAGGAGCACGAGAGCAACCUGAUUCUGUUGGAUCAAAUCCAUGAUACGGAAUUCUCCGAGGAGCAAGAAAGGACCGAACUGUCAACUAAUCUUUCUGAAAAACGGAGUCGCUUGGCAGCUCUUCCCACUUCGACCUUCAACCCGCUUGACUUUGAGGAAUUCUUCACAGAAUCUCCUCCUAUAAUUGAAUCGGGUCUAGACUGGGCAGGUAACUUUUGGCUCUUGAUACUCAUUACCUUUUCUUACCUUGUACCUUUGAUUGACUGGAAUUAUUUUUCCUAGGCUCAAGUGAAACGGAAGACGUUGUCCCACCCGAAGUUCCUGCGGUGCCGGAGGAUGGUUGUACUGCGGAGGGUGGUCAGGGGGCUUCAUCUGAUCAAGCGCCAAUUAAGGAGGCGAGUGAAACUUUGACAACUGAGCCGGAGUCCGAGGUGGAGGUCGAUCCGUAGUGGCUGUGUCCACUUUAAACUGGGGAUUGUCCCAUUUAGUUUAAACUUAAUUUCGAACUUAUUUUUUGCCUAAGGAGGCUUUAAUAUUUCUUUUGAACAAGAUAUUUGCCUGAGUAGGCUUUUAAACCUUUCUAGGUUAUGACCCAAGGGGGUUUGGUUAAAACUAUGUGCGGGUUUGCAAAGUCCGCUUUUAACCUUUUGUGGCCUUGUGGUUAUGCUUUCGAGAUUUUUAGGUUGAUCAGACCUUUCUCUUUAGAAUGCGAGAACUGAGCUCGGCUUAAAGCGAGUUCCCCACUUCGGGUUUAGUCAACUCGAUAAAUUUAUUGGGCUUGAGCCUUAGAAAAUUUUGUAGUUAAUGCGCCGGUUGCUCUCUCCCUUCUUAUUUCUUAAAAGUAGGGAAAACGGCUCGUCUUUAAUGCAAUAACUGCCUUUUCUCGAUUUUCCAAAAAUAGUUUAAACCACUCGGGCACACUACCAUUAUUGGAUUUAUGGUUCCAAGACAAACCCUAAAUCAUUAUAAAUAAAGGCUUACCUACUUCUAAGCUUUAUUUAAACACGAUUUUAGAAUCUUACUUGAGAAAUAUUUCGAGAAUGGAAAACAAAAAAGUAGCCCCCAUUGAUCCCGGCAGCCCACUUUUCUUGUCCGGCGAUGGCUUUGAACCGGCCGGCGUUCUUUUCCCCCACGUCGUCUUUCACUUUCCUUCAAAGGAGAAGAAAGAGGCUUGCGAUUUUAUUGACAAGGUAAAUAUUUAAAGUUUUUGAUUUAAAAACUUUUUGUUUCAUCUUAUUCAUUCAUCUUUAUGCUAGGUUGCCGACAAGCACCGUCGCUUGUGUGAAGAGAGGCAACGGCUGGGCCUUAAAAGGCAAACACUCGAGGCUCGCAUUGCUCGGGUGGAGAGGAAGAUACGGGCCUUGGAAAGUGAUCCCUUUCAAUGGGAAUGGCGGAACUUUGACUCUGUCGCUGAGAUCCCGAAGGUGCUUCGGAUGUAUCUCCGCGCUAAAGGAGUCCCGGGUCCCGUGAACGCCCCCGUCUGCGCCGUUCCAUCUGACAGCGAAGAAGAAGACGAAGAGGAGGUCAGCACCUGUCGGAAACGCGUUCGGGAUCAUCCCGAAGUGGAUGCCAAGAACAAGGCGUCCACUUCGAAGACUAAACUGGCGAUGAAGGAGCCUGUUCCUGAGCCUCUUCCAUAAAUGUUCUCUAACUUCUUUACUUAUUUAAACUCGUAAUGGGCUUCGGCUCCUUUUUAUUUAUGGAAACAUUUGCAACUUUCCUUUCUUUUCAAAUAUUCUCGGAGAUGCGUCUUUUAAUGCAGGAUCUGUUCGAGGGCAUAAAUCUCUCCGCGAAUCACUCCAUUCCUAGGAUAGAACCCGCAGCUUGCUAGGGAUAUGACGUUCCUAUAAAUUAUAGUCUCAAUUUCCCUUUACUCCUCACCAUUCUUUUCAUUUUAGUAGGUAUGGAGUUCAAUCUUCGCUGUUCAGAAUCUAUGCCCGACUUCUCCAGAAUCGGAAUGAUAAACGAAGAUGUUCCAAAUGAGCCAAGCAGGCAGCCUCCUCCACUUCGCGGCUUCUUGAGAUCUCAGAUCCGAGCCCCAUGUGCUUUGAUCAGGGAUCUCCCAAUCAGAGACCAAGGAACAGCGACGGCGUUCAUAGAGGCGCUCGAGCUUCAACACCGGAAGCUUAUGUUGCAAAAGAGGAGACUCCGGAAGAGGAUUAACCGGAUGCAACGCAUGCUUACUAUGGUGUCAAGAGAUCUUCACAUCCUUGAAUCUCACCCUGGAGAGUGGAUUGAGCUUGGAAUCUCUUAUUUUGCUCGAAUUCCGCACUGCAUGAUGCCAAUCCUCGAUCUUGCUGGUCAAGGAGUUGAAGUGUUCUGCUCGUCAACAAGAUUUUCAUAGUCCGAAGUGUACGAUGAGGGACAUUCCGUCUUUUGAAUAAACGCUCUAUUUCCAAUCUCUUGUAUGUUCGCAUAGCCGAACCUUUAUUUGCUUCAUUUGUUCGCACAGUCGAACCUUUUUCCUUUAAUAAAGAAAUAAAACAAAUUUUUAUUAAUAGCUGAACUCGUUUCCGAGCUGCCUACGUACCCAUUUCGGGAUCAAGUCACACCGUAGUUCAUGUACAUAAACAAUGCAUGUAGCUUUAAACAUAAAACUUCUUUAGGUUGAUCACAUUCCAAGGUCGCUUGACUGGAUUGUCUUCUAAGUCUUUCAACCUAUAAACACCGUUCCGAACCACUUCGGUAAUAAUAUAAGGUCCUUCCCAAUUAAUACCGAGUUUACCGGCACCUUCUUCUUUUUUGUUGUCAAAGACGCGCCUUAAUACAUAAUCUCCCACGAAGAACGGUCUACUUUUAACUUUAGAAUUGUAAUACCGGGCUGCUGCCUGCUGGUAAUUCUGGAUCCGAAUCAAAGCUUGAUCACGUCUUUCAUUUAUGGUAUCUAGUGAAUCAUUAAGCAUUGCUGAAUUUUCUUCCUCAUUUAACGGUGCUUCUGUUCGGCGAAGUCCGGGCACAUUGAGUUCAGCUGGUACUACCGCCUCCAUGCCAUAAACCAAAGAGAAUGGAGUUUCCCCUGUAGGUCGCCUAGGGGUUGUACGAUAGGCCCACAAGACGGGUUGGAGUUCUUCAUACCAUCCUCCCUUUAGAUGACUUAAGCGUUUCUUGAGAUUGCUUAAUAUUGUCUUGUUCGCGGCUUCAGCUUGACCGUUCCCUUGCGGAUAUCGUGGAGUAGAAUAACUAACUUUGAUUCCUCAGUCCGCACAAAAGGCAUCAAACUCGUGUGAAAUGAAUUGUGGUCCAUUAUCAGUGACUAUUUCGUAUGGAACUCCAUGUCGACAUAUAAUGUUUUUCCAAAUAAAGGUCUUCACCGCCGAAUCCUUGAUACCAACAUACGCCUCAGCUUCAAUCCAUUUCGAAAAGUAGUCCGUAAGGACUAAAAGGUAUUGUACACCUCGAGUUGAUUUGUGCAAUGGUCCAAUGAUGUCCAUUGACCACCUCAUAAACGGGUAUGGGGCGGAAAUGGAGGAGAAUAAUUCCGACGGUUGAUGGAUCAAUGGUGCAUGGAGUUGGCAGCGCUUGCAUCUUUGGGCGAACUUAACACAAUCUGUAAUCAUAGUGGGCCAAUAAUAUCCCAUUCUUUUAACUUUAAAAGCCAUAGCCCUUCCUGAAGAAUGACUCCCACAUAAUCCUUCAUGCACUUCGCUCAUAACGAUUUCGACUUCGGGCCCAAAAAUGCAUAAUAGGUAAGGGUCACUGACACCUCGUCUAUACAAUGUGUCUUUUGACAGACAAAAUUUCGCACUAACGAUUCUCAUUUUUCUGGCUUGCCACUUAUUCUUUGGGAGCUCGCCUGUCAUAAUGUAGUGCUUUAUUGGCUCCCUCCAGUCAGCCCCCCAGUCUUUAGCCGGAAUUUGGUCAACCUUGUGAAAUAAUCGUGGCUCUGGCUCGGGAUGUUCGUUUGGUUCAAGAACAUCCUCCUCGAUUAACGGUUCGGUUUCUAACAUUGUUUCUGGAAUCACAUCUUCAGCUAAGACAACGGGUUCCUUGUUAGAUGUAUUUGAUCCCUUUGACUUCCUCCGUUUGUUGGGUGGCGGUUCGAUUUCUGGUUCGCCACGGUCGCGUGCCGCUGCUCGAGACCUUGUAAUGGCGAGGGUUUCUUUGCUAUCUUGAAUGCUUCGUUCCGAAAUGCAUUCCACUGGAAUAACUCUUUUCAACUCAGGAUCUGAUGUUGACGCUAAUGUGGCAAGUGCAUCCGCAGUUGUAUUCUCUCCCCGAGGUAUGCGGAUUAAUUCGAAUUUCGAGAAAUUUUUAGAUAGAUCCUUCACCACUUCGAGGUAUGCUUCCAUUCUUGAGUCUUUGGCUUCAUAGUCUCCAUUAAACUGGUUAACUACUAAUUGCGAAUCGCAAUAAGCCACUAUUUUUUUAGCACCAACUCCUUGUGCCAAUCGAAGUCCGGCAAUCAGGGCUUCGUAUUCUGCCUCGUUGUUGGAGGCAUUGAAUAACAAUCGGAAUGACUGUUCUAGAAUUUCUGAUGUUGGAGACUCCAACUUGAUUCCCACUCCGGAUCCUUGUUUUGUUGAAGACCCAUCUACGUGUAAUUUCCAAGUUUGGUUCUCCGGUUGUUCUAUCGUUCCAGGUAUUGGUAGUUCGGUCAGGAAAUCUGCUAAGACCUGAGCCUUCAUACUGAUCCGGCUUUUGAACUCUAUGUCGUACUCGCUUAAUUCCACCGCCCAUUUCGCCAAACGUCCGGACUGACUUGGACUAUGAAGUAUUGUUCGGAGUGGCUGGUUGGUUAAUACUUCAAUCGGAUGGGAUUGAAAGUACGGGCGUAGCUUCCGAGCCGAGGUCACCACCGCGAGUGCGAGUUUUUCCAUCAUUGUAUAUCUGGUUUCUGGAUCCGUCAUCGACUUACUUACAUAGUAAAUCGGCUUCUGUUCCCCGCGGUCUUCCCGCACCAAGACUCCACUAAUCGCAUGGUUUGAAACUGAUAUAUAUAAAUAAAGCUUUUCAUCCACUUCUGGCUUAGACAAUAUGGGUGGAGUGGUUAAAUAUGCCUUAAGCUGCCCAAAAGCUUCUUCACACUUCUCAUCCCAAAGGAAUCCUUUGUUUCCUCUUAGGAUUUGGUAGAAAGGUAACGACUUAUCUGUUGAUCUUGAGAUAAAACGAUUCAAAGCCGCGAUCCGCCCAGUCAACCGUUGUACUUCCUUGAAGUUUCUUGGAGAUGGCAUAUUUAGAAAAGCGUUAAUUUGAUUUGGAUUGGCUUCAAUCCCUCUUUCUGUCACGAUAUAGCCAAGAAAUUCUCCGGAUGGGACUCCAAAUGUGCACUUCGCCGGGUUCAGCUUCAUUUGAUAUUUAUUGAGAAUAUCAAAACAUUCCUCUAAAUGCUUAACGUGAUCCUCUUUCUUUAACGAUUUAACCAACAUAUCAUCUAUGUAGACUUCCAUUGUUUUCGAGAUGAUUAUGGAACAUCUUGUUAACCAACCGUUGAUAUGUUGCUCCUGCAUUUUUCAAACCAAAAGGCAUUACCUUGUAACAAUAGAUACCUCUAUCAGUGAUAAACGACGUUUUUUCUUAGUUUUCGGGGUUCAUCAUUAUUUGAUUAUAACCCGAGAAGGCAUCCAUGAAUGUUAACAGCUCGUUCCCAGCGGUGGACUCUACAAGUCGAUCUAUAUGUGGGAGCGGGAAACUAUCUUUGGGACAUGCUUUAUUGAGGUCUGUGAAGUCGAUGCAAACCCUAUCCUUCCCAUUCUUUUUCUUGACAACGACAGUGUUUGCUACCCAUUCCGGAUAUUGCACUUCUCUUAUGGACCCUAUCUUUAAAAGUUUAUCCACUUCGUCAUUUACUAUUUUCGCUUGCUCCACUCCAAGCUUUCUUCUUUUUUGUUUCACCGGUUUGAAGCUUGGAUCCAGGCAUGUCCGCUGCUGACCAUGCAAACGAUGUUUUGUUUUUCCUUAAGAGUUCGAUCAAAGCUUCUCUUAUUUGGCCAGUCAAAGUUGCCCCAAUUCGAACUUUCCGGUCCGGCUCGUCUUCUUCCAACACCACUUCGAUUACUACAUCAUCUUUCUUUUGCCCGUUAGGAAAUUUUGUUCUUAGUCCCUCUUUUUCGGGCUUCGUUAAUUGCUAUUGAAUCUUCAUACGGUGGCUAGCUAGAUAACACGUCCGUGAAGCUUCUUGGUCUCCCCGAAUUGUUUCUACUCCUCUUGACGUUGGAAAUUUGAUACAUUGAUGAUAUGUAGAGGGGACUGCUUUCAUUUGAUAAAUCCAGGGAGUACCGAGGAUAAUGUUGUAAGCUGCGGGCUUAUCGAAGACAACGAAGUCCACGAUCUUCGAUACUUUUUUGGCAAGGACCGGUAGCUUGAUUGUCCCGAGAGACAUGGCUGAUUCACUUGUGAAUGCAACUAAUGGAGACGGAGGCCCCACUAUAUCCGCCCGACUAAUUCCCAUUCUUUCUAGAGUACUUAAAAAGAUCAAAUCGACCGAACUGCCUGUAUCUAUAAGGAUCCUUGAUACUUCGAAGUUGGCAACGUCAAGGGUAAUGACUAGAGCAUCAUCAUGAGGUCUUUCGAGGUACCGCGUUUCUUCUUCAUUAAAUGAUAUUGAUGCACCUUGAAAAUCGACUUCUUCGCUUAAGCUUGCUUUGAGUAGGAUAUUUCGUCUAUGUUUCUUGAUGGAACUUAUCGAAUCUCCGCAAAAUUUGGAACCUCCUAGAAUAACAUUGAUCUUACCCUUAGAAUUCUUUGGUUCUUCCUCGUUGGUUAACCUUGGUCUUUUAGAAUUUUGAUCUUUGGAACUUUCCUUUGCUUCGUGGUAUUCCUUCACAAAAUCUUUUAUAUCGAAUUUGGAAAGAUCUCCACUAGCCCAAAGCUCUGCGAGGUGCCUUUUAAGAACGCUGCAAUCCUUGGUUAAAUGUCCGGUUACUUUAUGAAUGUCGCAAUAUAGACUUUCAUCACGGACCCAAGUGUUUGAUCUUCCUUUCCCUUGGAAUUGCUUUCCGACGGUACUGUUGAAGGGUUGCGACCCAAAUUUCCUUGGUCCUUUGCUCUCCCUAGGCUCGAACUUCUUGGUAGGGACGGUGAUUGCCGGCUUUUCUUGUUUAUUUCUUUUGGCAAAACUUUCUUUUUCGUCCUCUACCUCCAUCCAGUUGUUCGCGCGAAAGAGUGCAUCCUGAAUUGUGUCUGGUUUAUGAAGUAUUAAGUCUUCUUUAAACCUUGAAUCAUGUCGCAAUCCUUUUCGUAGGGCAGAUAAAGCUGAUUGCUGCGAGAUUCUUGGGAGCUUUGACAGCACUCCCUUGAAUUUGGUGAUGAAAACUCGAAGUGACUCAUUAGAUCCUUGCGAUAAGUUCCAAAGAUCGGCAUCCGAAACGCUUUUAUCCAUAAGGAUGGAGUAUUGCUUUAAGAAUACGGCUGAUAGUUCGUCAAAAUUGCUGAUCGAACCCGGCUCUAAUUGGGUGAACCACAUUAGAGCUUGGCCACAUAGAUUCUCCGAAAAAAGCUUGUAGUAGCCUGCGUCCUCAUCAGCUUCAUCCAAUUCGACUCUUCCAGCAGCGAUCAGAAAAGCUGCGAGAUAGCUUUUUGGAUCCUCCAAUCCGCUGUAAGGGUCCAACUUGAGUUUCCGGGAAUCUUUGAUCCUCAAACUUGCAAUUCGCGAGAUGAAAGGUGUUCGCCUAGCUUCUUCAAUGACUCGAUUGAUGUCUGGCUCCGAACUUGUAGCUUGAUGAAAUUUUGAUUUCAUUUCUUUUAAUUCCUGGCUAACCUUCCUCAUGGUCUCGAACUGGUCAUGGUUCUCCUGCUCGUAUUGAGCUGCAAGUUGUUCUUCAUCUCCGAGCUGUGUCUCCUCUUCCAAUGUCUGAACUACAUUAUUAGUAGCACCGGGAGUUGUUUAUCCGCUGGUUUCAUUUCGUGCAGCGGAACUUGGCGAGUUGAAUAUCCCUCUUCGGAUUCCCACAAGGUUUCCUGCACUUAAAGAGCGAACACGAGUUUGUAUAGUAUUGACGUUUUGACUAAGAGAUACCUGGGAUGUUUGCAACGUAUCGACGACCUUUUCCACAUCCGAGAACUUUUGUGAUAUGUCCGACAUGGUUUGCUGCAUAGCUUUGAGGGUUUCAGCCAAUGAUGUCUCAACGGUGUCUCCUCCGGACAUUGUUGCUUAUCUCGGAAGUGUAAUAAAGAAAAAUCUGACCACUCAAGAAUCCUAUUUCCCCACAGACGGCGCCAAAAUGUGGAUGUCGGAUUCACACACUCAAGUAUUUUUAUUAAGUAGAAAAGAUUACUCUUGAGGGACAAAAAUGAAUAUGUAAAAACUUAUAAAUUGCUGUGAAAAUUGCUAUAGUAUUUCUUUCUUCAGAGGAAGAUCCCUUUUACAUGGCCAUUGGCCUUCAUAUUUAUACAUAGAGAAACGACAUUAAAAUGAGUAAUUAAGUACAAUUAUUCCUUCUUAAAUGUGUCCGUUUUGAUUCCUUGACUUUAAUGCUCAACGUUUGAAUUCGAGUUGACUCUGAUCCUUAUGGGCCUCGCCUUUCGGCCCAAAUGUCCUUGGACCGACUUUAAUCAUGACCUCGUCUCCGGACUCGUGUCGAGGUGCAGUCACUUCGAAUUCUCCUUAUGGUGGUUACCACUUCGAUUGUUCUUUUGACUCGUGGGUCCGAUGGGCUUUAUCCUUUAUGGGCCGCUACCCUGAUUACGUGGCAAUCUUUGGUUGGUCCUGGACCUCUGGUGUGGGAUCCGACACCAACAAUUACGGGCUCGGGCUUUCUUAGCUAAGCAAACAGCCCGACCAUUAAAAAUACGAGGAAUAAACCUAGACUGAAGAGUUACAGCAAAAGAUAUAGAAAUACUACUAAUAAGGAGUUCCACCACGAAGGGAGGAUUCUCGUAGAUGCGGAGGGCUGUCCUUUUCUAGAAUGCCAAGCUCCAUGGUAACCAUUGCCACAAGGAAUACAAAAGAUUCCAAGCAGUUUUAAACUUCCAAUAUUGCGCCUGAAGUGCAUGAGCAUUCAUUCCCUGAAAAGGGGGGUCGCAAAAAGGACGAGAAGAAAAUCUCGCGAUCCAAAGUCCAAAGUCGUCGAUAAAGAGAAAGGAGCGAAACCAAACAAUUGUAAGCAGAAUUCUCGAACCAAGCAAAGAGAUACACAGAAGGUUAGUGUCCGUGAGUAUGAAUGAUGUAAAAGGGUACAAAAAACCUCCUCGUCUCGUGAAGGGAAUCACCAUAGAAAGCAUAGUGUUUUGGAACUCAACUAAGCUUCUCAGGAGAAGGCACAUUAGACGUUUACCAUGCCUGUGAGAGAUGCUAGCUGAAGAGGUCUCUCUUUCAUCAAAGAGGAAGUUAAACCCAUGUCUUCACGGGAGGAAUUAAUCGAGUCGGGAAAAGAUAGAUCUAGGGUCAAUAUUCCAAUCAUGCCCUGACCACCUUGAUUCAUUUUCCCAACCUUGAAAACUGACUUAUUGCAACCAAACGCCAUUGGCCUUAGCAAGCUGUGAUUACCCAAAUGAAGAAUGUGGUUGGUUUCACACCUUAAUAUUCGAUCCCUCUUAUUAUCGCGGUUCUUUGAAACCGGAUUUUCAAAGUCGCAAGAUAAGAGCAUCCAAAUUUUCGAACAAGGUCUCUUAAUAACCGGCAAUUGAUCACUCCCAAAAAAUAGAGUGGUCAGAGCGAAAUUACUAUCCAAUCGAUAAUGAUAUCCAUUGAAAAUUUGCGGAUUCUUAUUCUUAGAAACAUCUAAACAGAAACAUACUAAUCUUUUUAGUUUCAACAAGCCCAAAAACAAAGGGACUAACCACUAGCCCAAAAACCAGGAAGACAAAAGCUGGGCCAAAUUCAUUAGUAUGAGCAAGAGAUGACCCAUAUUCAUUAUGUAUUUUCGUGGCCUCAUCAGAUCUGGAGGAAUGAUGCAAAUUGCGGCAACUGAUUUAAAAGAACUAAAACGGUACUUGGGGGAAGCCGCAGAACCGGCGGAGGAUGCGGAGGAGAGUUUCGCGGUGGUACACGGUGGUAAAGAUCUACGGAGAACGCCCGAGAAAAUUCUAGAUUCGACGGAGAGAUUGGUUAUGAGAUGAGUCGGAAGUUGGAGGUCUAUAAGUUCGCGUCGUUUGUGAUAAAGAGACGACGGAGUGUAUGUAAUCAUGAGAGAAAACAGAGAGUUUUGGAGCUCAACUAAGCUUCUCAUCAGGAGAAGACACAAUAGAAAUUUGCUUCGCCAGUGAGGGAUGCUAGCCGAAAAGGUCUCUCUUUCAACAAAGAGGAAGUUAAAGCCAUGUCUCUCCUCAGGGGAGGAAAGAAUGGAGUCGGAAAACAAAAGAUCCAUGGUAAACAUUCCAGUCAUGCCUUUAUCACCUUGAUACAUACUCCCAAUCUUGAAUAUUGACAUGUUGAAACCGGACACCAAUGGCCAUAACAAACUAUGAUUACCAGCAGUGUGAAUGAGUUUGGUUUUACGCCUUAAUAUCUGAUCCCAUAUAUUCUCGCGGUUCUCUAAAACCGGAUUUUCAAAGUAGAAAAAUAAGAGUAUCCCCAUUGCCGAACAAGAUCUCUUGAUAAACGACAAAUUAUCACUAUCAAACAAUAGAGUGACUAGAGCAAAAUUACUACUACAUAAACAUGGGGAUCGUUUAGGUUUCAACAUGCCCAAUAACAAAGAGUCUAAACACUGGCCCAAAAACCAGGAAGGCAAAAGCUGGCCCAUGUUUAUUAGCCUAAGUAAAACCUGGCCCAAAUUCAACAGGUUCCUUACUGGGCUCUUCAGGCCCAAUAACAAAAAAUAUAUUCUCUGACCCAAAAACCAGGAAAGUGACCGGCCCACUACGAUUAGGGUUUCGUCCCUAACUCGAGAAGGACCCAUACAAACGAAACAGCGGCGGCGGUUAAACGGAGAGGCGAAAAACACCGAUGAAAAAUCAUUUCGGGCUGUUGGAGCCGAUCUCGAAUACAGAGACUGUUGCUUUGGACUCUCGGUGGAGGAAAUUGAUAGAAACUGAUUUUUACAAAUGAGCCAUAAGGCCAAAUUUCCUACAAGCCCAAUAAAAGUCCAUAACCAAAGAUUACUGGACCAAAUCCAACAAAUUCUCAAUAUGAUGGGCCAAAGUGGCUUGAAGCCCAGAAAACAUGCAAAUCCAGAAAGAUUGUUGGGCCAAGCCCAUAGUUGAUUUAAAAUUUGAAACCCUAAUCCACCUAGAUCGAAGGCGCAGCGGCGGCUGCCGACUGAGGCGAGGUUGACGGAUGAGACAUCCUUCCGAUUAAGGAGACACCUAUCUAAAAAUAUUCUCACCGGUGUGAUGAGCAACUGGUGGAGGAUGAAACAAGUUCUCGUCGGGAGAGAGCACCAGAGGUGUGAGAGAGAAGCCACAACGACGAGAUCGAGAUCUCCGGCAACCGGAAUUGGAAAGCCCACCAGAUACAUCCCGAUCCAGAUGGUGGCGACGAAAGCUAGCGGUAGAGGAUGGAUCCAACGAUGUAUUAAGAAGUAAUGGAAAAAACUUCGGAGAUACGUCCGAGAAGAGAACAAAGAUACAUCGGAGUAGUACCCAGACGAGCACACACACUGGAGGCGAGGUAUGACACAACAACCGGUCACCAUCUUUAACGGAAAUCCGAGCUUCCACGUUUUGGAAAUAGAUCUCACCGGCGACCAUGUCGAUCGAUGGAGGGUGGAAAAAGAUAUCACCGGAAUAGGAGACCGGUGGAGCUUUGAAGUUCUUGAAAGCGUGUUUAAAAAAUCUCCGACCACCAGAAAUGAAAUCGAAGUGAGAGGGCGGUGGUGGUCUGGAAGGUAACAAAAACCUAUAAAACGAUUGUGAAAAGAGAGUAAAAGAUGGUUUGAGAAAUCCCGACGCCGGCGAGCAACGGCUCCACCGGCGUCGGAAAUCAGAUUCAGAAUUUGCUCCUCGAUAAUUGUGCCUGAGAGAGACUCAUGUUACUGUCUCUUGCUCCCUGCAUUCAUCGAUCACAGCAAUAAAAGAAAAAUGACUUUUGAAGUUAUAAAAGAAAAAUGAUUGCCAAAAAUAAAAUGUAUAUUUUGAAUAUCACCACAAAUCAAAGUAUAUAAUAUCACCACAAAUCAAAUUCAUAUAUAUAUAUAUAUAUAUAUAAUGAAUUUGGUAUAAUAUAUAUAUAAAAUUCAUACGCAUUUUUCUUUUUAAAACCACCAUAUAUAUAUAUUAUAUAUAAAUAUAUAUAUAACCGACCUUUGAAUUUAUAAAAAAAAAACUGAAUCUAUAAAGAAAAAUGAAUUUAUAAAUAUCAUAAUAUAUACUUUGAUUUGUGGUGUUUAAGGAUAUAUAUAUAUAUAUAUAUAUAUGAGUUUUGCAUAUACUUUGAAUUUCAUAAUAUACAAAAUUCAAAGGUCAUAUAUUAUGAUUGCCAAAAAAAAUUAUUAUUUUAGUUUUUUGUAAUAUUACCAAAAGUAUAUACCAAAAUUUUAUUAUAUAAUUCUAUUGUGGUUUAUUUUUUUUUUAUCUUUUUUGAUAAAAUUAAGUUAUAAUUUAUUAUUUUAAUUGUUUAUAAAAAUAAAUAAAUAAAUUUAUUUAUAGAGAAAAAAAAAAUUCUUUUAUAUUUGAUUUUGGGUCAAAAUUGGGUUAAAAUAGAAUCAAAAUCGAUUAAUUUUGGUCAAAAUUCUGGGUAAGUCAAACCGGAUUAAAUAUUAUCGGUUAAUUGAUCGGUUCAAUUGGAAGCUUUUACGAACAAAUCCGAAAGUACGCGUAGUUUUAUUGAGAUUAAAGUUUUUUUUGGUGGUUUUUUCAGAAGUAAAAAGUUUGGGAUGGAAAGCUGAGAUUCCAACUAGUAUAGGACUGAAAAAUCAGCCAACCCUUGGAAAAUUGAUUCUACCCACUUUUCUAGUAUUUACCAGUUGAUAGAUUUCAGAUGCCUCUAUUUAGCUGCUAGGUGAUGUCAUAUUAGCUUCUUCAUGUUUGGAGGAGAUUGCGACAUGCAUCUCUUUUGACAUUUCAAGACCUGACAUACAUUGAGAAUGAUUAAGUUAUUUGUCUUCCCCAAUCUCUCUAGCUUUGCAGUUUCUUCUGCGAUUCCCUUUCUUUGCUUCUUUGAAUCUUGUUCUUCUUCAACAACCGCACGAGAGCUUAAGAUUGGAC